rnacentral:rRNA from 1 species
AACGAACGCUGGCGGCAUGCCUAACACAUGCAAGUCGAACGACAGCACCGUGUCUGCUGGCGCUCGGGUGCGUCACGUGGCGGAAGGGUCACGUAGGCUUCGAAUAACUCUUUGUAGGGGGUGCUAACACCGGAUAAUGUCUUCGGAUACAAGAUAUAUCGUACGUGGGUGGGCAGGGGUUGGUUUAGCUUGGUGGGAGGGUAUAAGCCUAUGAAGGCGUCGAUCGGUAGCGGGUCUGAGAGGAUGAUAGGCCACACUGGGACGGAGACACGGUCCAGACUCCGACGGGAGGCAGCAGUGGGGAAUAUUGGAGAAGGGGCGCAAGCGUGAUACAGCCAUACCGCGUGGGUGAAGAAGGCCUUCGGGUGGUAAAGCCAUUUUGUUGGGAAAGAAAAGCAGCUGGUUAACACGCCGCUGUUCUGACGGUACCGAAAGAAUAAGCACCGGCUAACUCCGUG